UAAACCACAGAGCUCCAGUGGGGUCUGUAUUUGGCAUUAAAGCUAUCCGAUAUUAAACCACAGAGCUCCAGUGGGGUCUGUAUUUGGCAUUAAAGCUAUCCGAUAUUAAACCACAGAGCUCCAGUGGGGUCUGUAUUUGGCAUUACAGUUUUCCGAUCUAAAACCAGAAAGUAAACGCAAUUUAUGACCGCUGGUGGAUCCAAAUGAUCCCAAGAUGAAUAACUCACUGUUAAAGUAGUAUUAACUAACAUGCAAUGCUCUUGAAAAUACUAACACUAGACCCCUGCGUGACCAUUGGCGAUGCCUGGAUGCUCUACAAGCCAAGUUCUCACGGGUUCAGACCAACGAAACAGACCAAAUCUGAAACAAGCCUUAAGCAUGACCUCCUGGUUCAGUAACUGCUCGUAGAUGUCAGGCUCUUGGCUGGAUGCAUCCACCAGGGCUUUGCCUCCCAAAAGCUGGUCUGUGUUUCCACCAUGUUUGACUGACUGAGAGACAUCUUGGUUCUUCAUGCUGGUGGUGGGACCGCCAUGCUUUAGGGAAACACAGAAUCUUUCAAGGUUAAGGGUCAGCUGCUCAUAGUUACUUGUUCAAAACGCCUUUUACCCCUGAGCCUGCUGUGUGUGUGUGUGUGUGUGUGUGUGUGUGUGUGUGUGUGUGUGUGUGUGUGUGUGUGUGUGUGUGUGUGUGUGUGUGUGUGUGUGUGUGUGUGUGUGUGUACACCUCUGCAGUCCGGUUGCCUAUAACAGCCACCGGCGCUGGAGGUUCCGCCAGAGGGCCGAGCCCGUUUGGUUCCUCAACGGCCCGUUUGGGCCUGUCAUCACUGACUUACCCCCAGUCACCCUGACCAGAACACACUCCCUUUGGCCCGUUUGGGCCCGUCAUCACUGACUUACCCCCCAGUCACCCCCUGACCGGAACACACUUCCACUCCAAGACAGUACUUUACUCAAGCAAUACACAGUCCGUCUAAGCUAGCUUCCUUCAACCAAGAGAUGCAACGCUGCAGUCCACUUUACUGUAAACGCCACAAUAUUGCCUCCGCCACUGGGAGCCCCAGCAGCCCCAGGGUCAAGGGGUCAGGGGUCAGGGUGUAGAUGUAGCCCUCGCCAGGUCGUAGCUGCGCCUGGGACGCAUCCGGGCCGCUUUCGGGCCCGACCCAGCCCGGGUCCGUUCCCCGGGUCAGCUGCCGUCCGGCUCCUCCUAUUUAGAGGUCUUGAUCUUUAUUUUUCACUUGUUUGUGUUUAGCAUUUGAAUGGAAUGUGUGGUUGUAGCAACAGUGUGUAGAACAGUGCGGAGAUGCUCAUAUUUUUCUAUACGUGACCGCAGGUCUCCCGCUGACGACCUGGUCGGCUCCUUUUUUAUACUCCAGUGUUUGACAUAUAGCAGUACAGUAUAUAUAUGAAUAUAUAUAUUGUGCGUAUGUGUGGAUGUAUGAUAUAUGAUAUGAUGUGACUACUAAAGACCUCUCAGCUCAAACGGAACA
ensembl:lncRNA